rnacentral:rRNA from 1 species
GGAGCUUGCUCCUGCUGGAUUAGUGGCGAACGGGUGAGUAACACGUGAGUAACCUGCCCUUGACUCUGGGAUAAGCGUUGGAAACGACGUCUAAUACCGGAUACGAGCUAGGACCGCAUGGUCACUAGCUGGAAAGAACUUUGGUCAAGGAUGGACUCGCGGCCUAUCAGCUAGUUGGUGAGGUAACGGCCCACCAAGGCGACGACGGGUAGCCGGCCUGAGAGGGUGACCGGCCACACUGGGACUGAGACACGGCCCAGACUCCUACGGGAGGCAGCAGUGGGGAAUAUUGCACAAUGGGCGCAAGCCUGAUGCAGCAACGCCGCGUGAGGGACGACGGCCUUCGGGUUGUAAACCUCUUUUAGCAGGGAAGAAGCGAAAGUGACGGUACCUGCAGAAAAAGCACCGGCUAACUACGUGCCAGCAGCCGCGGUAAUACGUAGGGUGCAAGCGUUGUCCGGAAUUAUUGGGCGUAAAGAGCUCGUAGGCGGUUUGUCGCGUCUGCUGUGAAAAUCCGAGGCUCAACCUCGGACCUGCAGUGGGUACGGGCAAACUAGAGUGCGGUAGGGGAGAUUGGAAUUCCUGGUGUAGCGGUGGAAUGCGCAGAUAUCAGGAGGAACACCAAUGGCGAAGGCAGAUCUCUGGGCCGUAACUGACGCUGAGGAGCGAAAGCGUGGGGAGCGAACAGGAUUAGAUACCC